UUCCUUAUUUUGCAGGUCUAGGUUCAACUGGCGCACCUGUUCCUUAAACGGUUUGACAACCUCGUCGCUGUUGGACAGUAAGUCAAUCUAAAAUCAUAAAAGUUCUUAGUUAUAGUAAAAGAUGAUAUCUACCGUCACAGAUGACAUUAUGAACAUCCAAGAAGAAUUCGCAAGCAGCAAUAUCAAGCAGAUACGCGUGACAUAUCUAAAGCAAAUUUUACGCGAGCCUGAUCAGUCAUUUGUUGCUACUUCAACACUAAACGUAUUAAAGACUUUCAACUGCAGCGGCGGCAGCAGCAGAAGUGAAGUUCAUGGAUUUAAACAGUGCAGUUUCCAUGAUCUAUAAACUUGAAUGCUUCGUCGUUCUGUGAAAAUAACGAAACUGGAGUUAUAAGGUUUAUAUUCGAAAAAAAACUCGUAAACAAUGUUUGCAAAUUAGGAAGAACAAUAUAAUUAGGUAAUUUAAGAUGCAACAAUGUUACAUCCUCACCAAACGCGAAGAUAGAAGCGACUGAGAAGGAUGAUGACAGAAAGCCGCAAGUUAAAUCGUUCCAUGUCUGUCACGGAUAGCCUAGUAUUGAACAAGUUAGUGCGACAUAAAGUAUAAUCUAAAUGCGUAGGUUCUCUUCCAGAUGUGCCUUAGCCUUCUGCUCGAGAUCGGCUUGUUCGCGCAGCUCAUUUAUUCGUCGUAACGACUUAUCUUGUGUAUCCGUCAGGACCUUCUGAAUUUUAUCCUUUUCUUCGUUAAGAUUACGACUGACUCAAGUGUUAAGUUACGACAAGAAAGAAUGAGGAGAGGUACCUAUCGUCGACCACCCCGUCAUCCUAAGCAUAAUUAUGGCAAAAAAAGCAACUUAACUUACACGCCAAAUUUUGUACAUCUAAGCACCUGUUUAAGCAGGUAUUCCUAAGGGAAAUCUCCUAAGAAUUCUGAGAGAAUUCCUAAGAAAUUCCUAAGAAAAAACUAUUUUAAUAUAAACCUGAAAUCGUCAAAGAAAAAUCAAGUUUGUACGAAACAGAAACCUUGGAGCAACAAGGAAGAGCUUCGGAAUGAUUGAUGUAGAGAUGCCGUCUAGAACACCAAGGAAUUACUAAUUUUUUUUUAUUAUCGCUUGAUUUGGU